UUAUCAGACUUGUUACAAGGUCGUUCUAACAAGUCUGAUACAGUCAUGAUAUUACAAGAAUGUUACAAGGUUGACGACACAAAGUUGCAACAGUAUUGUUAUAUCAUGGCUGUAUCGGACUUGUUGGAACAACUUUGUAACAAGUUUGAUAA